CCCUUGUUAGUAUAGUGGUCAGUAUCCCUGCCUGUCACGCAGGAGUCCUGGGUUCAAUUCCGACGGGGAG
rnacentral:tRNA from 1 species